rnacentral:pre_miRNA from 17 species
GGGCCUGAUUCAAGUAAUCCAGGAUAGGUUUGUUCAGACAAGCACAGCCUGUUCCGGAUGACUUGGUUCAGGAAC